rnacentral:rRNA from 1 species
UACGAGGGGGCAAGCGUUGUUCGGAAUUAUUGGGCGUAAAGGGCGCGUAGGCGGUGCGGUAAGUCACCUGUGAAACCUCUAGGCUCAACCUAGAGCCUGCAGGCGAAACUGCCGUGCUUGGGGGUGGGAGAGGUGCGUGGAACUGCGAGUGUAGAGGUGAAAUUCGUAGAUAUUCGCAAAGAACACCAGUGGCGAAGGCGGCUCACCUGGCCCGAUACUGACGCUGAGGCACGAAAAGCGUGGG